rnacentral:rRNA from 1 species
UUCCGGUUGAUCCCGCCGGACCUGACUGCUAUCGGAUUGAUACUAAGCCAUGCGAGUCAUUGUAGCAAUACAAGGCAUACGGCUCAGUAACGCGUAGUCAACUUAACCUAUGGACGGGAAUAACCUCGGGAAACUGAGAAUAAUGCCCGAUAGAACACUAUACCUGGAAUGGUUCGUGUUCCAAAUGAUUUAUCGCCAUAGGAUGGGACUGCGGCCUAUCAGUUUGUUGGUGAGGUAAUGGCCCACCAAGACUAUUACAGGUACGGGCUCUGAGAGGAGUAGCCCGGAGAUGGGUACUGAGACACGGACCCAGGCCCUAUGGGGCGCAGCAGGCGAGAAAACUUUGCAAUGUGCGAAAGCACGACAAGGUUAAUCCGAGUGAUUUGUGCUAAACGAAUCUUUUGUUAGUCCUAGAAACACUAACGAAUAAGGGGUGGGCAAGUUCUGGUGUCAGCCGCCGCGGUAAAACCAGCACCUCAAGUGGUCAGGAUGAUUAUUGGGCCUAAAGCAUCCGUAGCCGGCUCUGUAAGUUUUCGGUUAAAUCUGUACGCUUAACGUACAGGCUGCCGGGAAUACUGCAGAGCUAGGGAGUGGGAGAGGUAGACGGUACUCGGUAGGAAGUGGUAAAAUGCUUUGAUCUAUCGAUGACCACCUGUGGCGAAGGCGGUCUACCAGAACACGUCCGACGGUGAGGGAUGAAAGCUGGGGGAGCAAACCGGAUUAGAUACCCGGGUAGUCCCAGCUGUAAACUAUGCAAACUCAGUGAUGCAUUGGCUUGUGGCCAAUGCAGUGCUGCAGGGAAGCCGUUAAGUUUGCCGCCUGGGAAGUACGUACGCAAGUAUGAAACUUAAAGGAAUUGGCGGGGGAGCACCACAAGGGGUGAAGCCUGCGGUUCAAUUGGAUUCAACGCCGGG